UACGUAGGUGGCACGCGUUGUCCGGAUUUACUGGUCGUAAAGAGCGCGCAGGCUGUCUUCCAAGUCGAAUGUGAAAGCCCCCGGCUCAACUGGGGAGGGUCAUUCGAUACUGUUCGACUCGAAGGCAGGAGAGGGAAGUGGAAUUCCGGGUGUAGUGGUGAAAUGCGUAGAUAUCCGGAGGAACACCAAUGGCGAAGGCAGCUCUCUGGGACGGUACUGACGCUGAGACGCGAAAGCGUGGGGAGCAAACAGG
rnacentral:rRNA from 1 species